rnacentral:tRNA from 1 species
UCCAAGGUAGUCUAGUGGACAUGGCAUUUGCCCGGUAAGCGGAACACUGUGGGUUCAAUUAUCAUCUCUGGCA